rnacentral:rRNA from 1 species
UACGGAGGGGGCUAGCGUUGUUCGGAAUCACUGGGCGUAAAGGGUGCGCAGGCGGAUUUUUAAGUCAGGGGUGAAAUCCCGAGGCUCAACCUCGGAAUUGCCUUUGAUACUGGGGAUCUUGAGUCCGGAAGAGGUGAGUGGAACUGCGAGUGUAGAGGUGAAAUUCGUAGAUAUUCGCAAGAACACCGGUGGCGAAGGCGGCUCACUGGUCCGGAACUGACGCUGAGGCACGAAAGCGUGGGGAGCAAACAGG